GCCAUUAGUUCGGGCCAGGUGAGGAUGAUGGAGAGUUCAGCUUUGUGGUUAGGGAGGCAACGAGUGGUGGAGAGCAGGUAUUGUAGUAAAAUAAAGAAGAAAUAAAACAUAAACUUAGUUGUCAGGAUAGGAUCCUAAAAGGUGGUGGAUGAUGGUGGACCAAGGGUGUGGGGAGUAUGGUAUUCACUGGGUCCGUCCAGGUCCCUGGGAUUUGACUUUGGGUCA